rnacentral:rRNA from 1 species
GUGAGGAAUAUUGCGCAAUGGAGGCAACUCUGAUGCAGCCAUGCCGCGUGCAGGAAGAAGGCGCUACGCGUUGUAAACUGCUUUUAACCGGGAAGAAACCCCAGGACGUGUCCUGGGUUGACGGUACCGGAGGAAUAAGCACCGGCUAACUUCGUGCCAGCAGCCGCGGUAAUACGAAGGGUGCAAGCGUUAUCCGGAUUCAUUGGGUUUAAAGGGUGCGUAGGCGGAGCGUUAAGUCAGUGGUGAAAUCCUGCAGCUUAACUGUAGACUUGCCAUUGAUACUGGCGCUCUUGAGUGCGCUUGAAGUGGGCGGAAUGUGCCGUGUAGCGGUGAAAUGCUUAGAUAUGGCACAGAACACCAAUUGCGAAGGCAGCUCACUAAGGCGAUACUGACGCUGAGGCACGAAAGCGUGGGGAUCGAACAGGAUUAGAAACCCCAGUAGUCC